AUUUUGUAGGCAGGACAAAUUUGGGGUUAGAGGUUUCAUGGGUGGAUUGAUGUCCUUACUCUCCACUGGAACUCCCACUUUUGUAGUAUAUAAAGGGUCCCAGCUUGGAUGGUUCAUUCCCAUCAUGCCUUGCACCCUGUGCUGAGGUUUGUGGAAGGUGAAGUAUGAGGUAUGUAGAGGGUGAAGCAUCCCAGUAAUUGUUAUGAAAGUUUACACUUGUCCUGCCUGACCUGUGCUGUGUGACAACACUUAAUCUGCGGUGCCUCAAUCUUCUUAUCUGUAAAAUGGCACAAAUUCUACUACUACUACUACUACUACUACUACUACUACUACUACUACUACUACCACCGCCACUACUAUUACUAACUUUUAAGUAGGGGAGAAGUGAAAAAAGGGGGUAUUGUGUGGCAAAAGUUCUACCUUCUGUAAAGUUGGUUUCUCUUCCUUUUGUCCUUAUUUUCAGAGAACUCAGAAUUUAAAAAUAGUUGCACCAGGAAAAAGUCUCCACUUGAGCUGCGUCCUGUGCUGGCCUUAGCCAGGACUCCCAUGAACAUGGAAGACAGAAGUGAGUUCUUGGGUUAUGGGAAACAUUGUCAUGUUCUGGUUUCAAAAUGUGCAAAUUUAUGUAAAUUUGAAAUAUAAUAGCAAGAAAAACUCUCUAUUAAUUUAAGACAGUGUUUCUCGUGAGAUUAGAUGCUGAUAUCAGAAGGUUCUGGUGCCUGGCAGUAUCCUUAGAACUUGUCCAAGUGCAAGGGCAAAAGGCCAGCAUUGUGUUAGCCCUGCCUCACUGUACUCCUGUUAUUUCUGGUGGGAGCAUUAGGGCUUAACUUCAGCUGUGAAGGCAGGCACUGAUGUACCCACUUCUGAAAUGAGGAAGCUGAGGCCUUAGAGUUUAUGUUCCUUGAUAAGAGUUAAAGUUAUUGGGUAUCCGAGUCCUAGACUUCUGAAUGUGUCCUUCUGCUUCUCAAAAGCAACCAGAUACCAAUCCCUAAACUGUGUGGUGUUGAGGAACUGCACAGGGAACUGCUCACACAAUAUCCUUCCAUUGAUUUCUAGUGCUUGGAGCAAUUCUCUUCAUCCUUUUGUUUUCCCAGUUGAACAAAUAUCCAGCCACUUGUCUGUAUCGACAGUGACAACAUUACCUACAUGGCCUCCGCCGUGCCCUGUACCCUGGGUAACAGAUCCUCAGCUCCAAGUGACCACAGAUACCUGGAGGUUGAAAGAAAGAGGUUUUUACAAGCCUUCUUGAAUUCCUUUCCUUCAUUAGUCUACUGCCUGGGAAAAUUCCCAGCUUGUCCCUUCCCCCACCCCCAACCCAAAGCCACUUUGUUGCGCUGGCAUAAUUUCUUACAAUAACAUUAACAUAUCACUGGAGCUCAUUACCUUUGGUGUAAUAGUUCCCUAUUGAACUGUGUCAGACUAAUUAUGUCAGUUCCUUUUCAUUCCAGUUUAGUGCUUCUCCUGAGAGUCACCGUGCAGCACUGGUAAUAAUGAUUAAACUGCUGUCUAAUGCUCCACUGGAUGGCCAAACCAAACAGGGAAAUUCCUCUCUGAAGAUGGGACUCACACAGCCCUGCAUUUGAUGCAGUUUGCUGUUUUAAAAGCCAUUCCCUGGUGGCCAUUUCUACGUGACAUUGCAGGGCUGGCAUUGUUGGGGAAUGAGAGGGCAAAUUAGAGAAGGAAAUAACUUUGCAAGACCUGAUGUCACCAAGAGGCAACUCAAGUACUUUCUACUAGCCUGGGGAGCCUUGGAGGUCUGAUGGGGACCAUCUGGAACCAAGCUAUGUAGCUCAGCCAGUAGAGGUGUGGGUAUACAGAAGAGGCCAAGGUAAUGAAUCAGGACAAGCCAAUAUCAGAUGCUUAAAGCUCUGUUAGUAGUGUCAGUUGAAAGAGGCCAUGGAAGGAGGAUGACAAUGAAACCAUUUUCACAUUCCAAUGGUAGUCUGGGAGAGCAGGAGCCCAAGUGGAGCCAGGAGCCCAAGUGGAGCUUGUCUUUGUCUUUUUGCGUAAAGGGAAGGAAUGAACCUCACACUUUGGCAGGAGCUGUGGUUGAUGUCCUUUACCACCCACAGGGACGCUAAUCUGUUCUGAGAACCCAUCACCAAUGAUUACCAUUCUAAUAAUAGCAGCCAGCAUCAAAUUCUUUGUGAACAUGGUGAACACUACCUCCAGCUUCCUGAGUCAAGAUUCAACAGGACACCCUGUAGAGCUGGAAGAGUGGUGGGAUGCAUGCUAGUGAAAGCCCACGGUAUGGAUGACCUGCUGAAGGUGAUUUGAUGAAGACUUGGAAGAAAACCGUGGAGAACUGCAGAGGAUAUCUGAGGUUUCCCUAGGAAAGCACAAUAAGCACAUAAACAGCUCCUGGGAAAUGAGAAUCAUGUGGAGGUAACAUUUCAUACCCACGAUGAUGACUAGAAACAAAGACCCAGACAAUGGUAAGUGCUGGUAAGAAUUCAGCAUGAGGGGGCAACACAAUAUGGCAGUUCUCCUGAAGAGCGGCCACAAGAUCUAACUAUUCCACGCCUACAAAUCUAUCUACUCUAGAGAAAUAAAAUAUACUAUCUAUAGAGAGAUAAGAAUAUAGUAUCUAAAUAGAACACCCUGUGUGUGUAUAUUCAUGGGGAUAGAAUUCAGAAUAGCUGAAAAUGUGGGGAAAACCCCAAAUGCCCAUCCUCUGGGUUAUGAGCAAGGCAGAUGUGGUAUAUCCAUACAGUGGAAUAAUACAUGACAGUGAAAAGGACCUAAGUCCUGAUGUAAGCCCUGGCACAUGAACCUUAGACUCAUUGCACUAAGUGAAAGAAACCACACAGAAAACCCCCAUAUGCUAUGUGAUACCAUUUGCAGGGAAUUGUAUCAUAUUCAGAACAGGCAUAUCUACAGAGAGGGAAAGUAGGCGAGUAGUUGGCAGAGCUCGGGGGUGGAUUUCAGGAACAACGGAGUGAGCAUUAAUGGGUACAGCCAUUCCUUUAGGGAGGGAUGGGGAUGCUCUAAAAUUGGAUUGUGCUGCUGGCUGCACAGCUCUGUAAUAAACCAAUGAUCGGGGAAUUGUGCCCUUAGAAAGGAGAAUUUUAUGGUAGGUAAAUUGCACUUCCAUGAGGCUUUUAAAAGAAUCAGAAGAGGCACCUUGAAACUCUGAGCAGGAUGCAUUCUUCCCGGGGCUGCCCAGGAGAGCAGGCUCUCUGUAGCUCCUCAGGCCAGCAUUCUUCCCACAAACGAUGACCUCAGACCCUGAGCAGACCUGUUUUCUUUCUCUCAUCUGAUCUGAGCAAGCGCCUUGCAAAGCCUCAAUCUCUGGGGGCACAAGUCUAACUUCUUUAUUCACAGUCAAAGGCACGGAAUCUGGGUCAGUAGAAAGCAUGCUUUCUCCUGAGGAUCAGGGUCAGAGAGCAGGUGUCUCACAGCCUACAAAUUAUAAAAGAGGGCAGCAGUUGGGGGCGGGAUGCAGAACCGUGCCAUCUGCCUCCUGACUUGGGACUAGGAAGGUGCUUCUAUUCACAGGCCUGCUCUAGCAAAGGGAUCUAUGAAGGGCAAGCAAGUCAGGAAGGUGAGGCUUCUCGGGAACAGAUGCCAGGAGGCAGCAGGCUUUGUAGCCCUGCAGUUUGGGGAAAGGGAGAGAGUACUUCAUGAGGGCCAGGCACUGGGAGGGCUCAUAUCAGGUCUCAGUUGCCUGAGAUUGGCAGUGGUAGGCCUGAGCUGAGCAUAAAUUGGUACUGGGAUAUUAGACACAGAAGAAGGAGGAGGUCUAGGUUUUACUUAAAAUCAUUUUA
rnacentral:sRNA from 1 species